UUUAACAGUCCAGGUGUCAAGGGCAAAGGGACCCAAUCCGGCAGAAGACAAAGAUCCUAUAUUUGAACGUGGCUCUACCACAACCUACUCAAGCUUUAGGAAGGGCAGCUACACCAAACCCUGGUCCAGCGGAGAUCAGACGUCAGUCAAAACGCACCUCUUAAUCCAACAUGUGUUAUACAUUUCAUUUAUAUAGGAUCCUUUCUUUGACUAUUCCAGAGACUGAAAUGUUUUACUUGGCCAUCAGCAUGGUGGGGACAGACUUCUCCAUGACUGGUCAGCUGUUUCCACACCGAGCUCGAAAAGAGAUUAAGUAUGUAAUGAGAUCAACAAUCAAGCGGCCCUUACUCUUCUGACCAUCGGGAACCCAGCUCAGAUGAUCCAGACAUCAGAAAUGCCCUGUACAAGUGGAAAUGAUAUUGUUGUACAUGAAGAGGUCGUCCAUGAGGAAGAUAUCACAGAAACAGCCAUCAUGUCUAGUUCUUCUGUAAGCUGUGAGUCUGAGACAAAAGGUGACGUUGAAUUUUCGAACUGUGAAACUCAUAUUCCAGAACCUUCUGCUGAAGAAACCAUCAUCCAGAAAGAAGAACCAAUCAAAUUACAGACAACUGAUCUCAUCCUGCUCCCAUUCAACAUGAUACACAGUCUCCACCAAGUAAAAGAGGACGAUACUCCAAACCCAAACCCAAUAUUAGUCAGUGUUUGAGAACCAGAUGAGCUCCACAGCAGCAGAUCUCUCCAGAACUUGUCACAGGUUCUUUGGGGACCUCUAAGUGUCCGUCUUCCACAGAACAGGAUAAAAAUCCAAUGCAAGAAGAUUGUGUUCCUGUGGAUCACCUGCCAGAUUCCUUUACCAUCCGCCCUGAGGUACUACAGCCGGAUAUAUCAUCUGAAACAAGAGAUGUCAUUCCUGAAAGAGUGACUAAAGAAGAUAAUAGAUCCGUUUCAUCUUUGAAGAGAAAGGAUGAUGAUAUAAUCACAGAGGAAGAUAUAAAAGAACAAGAAGGGUUGGGAUCAGAACCACAGCUGACUAAAAGUGUGAACGAGUCUCAGAGCACAUCAGUUGAGUCCUCUAAACCUGUCAGGAGGCACUGUAGACUCAAACCUCAACCAAACCUGACUCAGACAUCCAGACGCAGCAGCACAUCAACCACAGCAGGUAACAGCCACCUUUAUGAUUUAUAUAACUUUUUAAUAUUGACAUUUGCUUAUAAAUGUUUUGUAUUCACAUUUUUUAUAAUGUCAUUCUCAUUUUCGUUACUGUGAUAUGAUUGUUAAAAAACAAGAAAAAACAAGCAGAAAUUAACAUAAUACCAUGUAUAAAUUAUUGUAACUUUUUUUAAUAAGAUGUAUUUUUUUGUGAUUAUAGCUGUAGAUGCUUUUUAAACGUUCAAAAUUUGUUUAAUAGCUAGAAUUUUUUUUAAUUUUUUUUAUGAAAUUUAUUUAUUCAUUUAUUUAUUUUUGUAAUAUAUAUGAUUUUUUUAUUAGAAUUUACAUGAUUGUUUAAAUAAUAAUAACAAUAAUAAUAAAAACUUGAAAUCUGUGUUAGUUUUACUAUAAAUUAUAUAUUUUCCAGUAUUUUAAAAUUACUUAUAAAAAUAUGUUUGUAAUCAUCCAGUCUUUUUAGAAUAUUGUUUAAUAUUGUGUAAAUGUGCUUUAAUGUCGCAAAAAUAAUGAUUGACAAUUGAAUUAAAAUCAAAUCCAAAUUAUUAUGCAACAUAUAAGUUAGUAAUUUAUUUAUCAAAAUCAUCCGCUGCUCAGGCUUCCAUGAACACUUUCACUGAAAGUGCUGAAGAGGAUUCUGUAUUUACCACAGAACUUUACGUAUCCAAAAGUGCAGCUCAACAAGGAGCAUCAAGCAUUGAAUCAGCAGAGGUAAAAUAUCUGUUAAAUACUGUUAAACCUCAUCGGCAUACACUCAGAUAUUUCAGCUUUUAUUCUCACUUUCUAUAUUUGUAUUAAUAAAACCGGAUUUGAUCUUUCUCUACUCGUGCAGAACUCAGAUGAAGAACCCACAAGUGUCUCCAAAUACUUCUUAAGUGACAUCUUUACUGAAGUUGAUGAACUAGAAGACAUGGAUUUAGGCCAAAGGUUGGAAUUACAAACCAGUCACAACUAACUAAACAGUCAGAAAUAUAGUUUGACAUAAGUUGGAUGUAUAGACAUCUGAAUAUUUGGAAGGGCACUUCUACCAAGAAGAGCCACAACUGAAGAGAUGCAGCAAAAACGUACCUCAGUAAUAGCUGACAUAAUGUCUUUUAUGUCAUUAUAAUUUUAUUUAAGGAUAAAUAAGUAUUAAUUCAGUUAAGUUUUUGUUACUGUUGCACUCUUUUGUUAUGUAAAGUUGUAUUAUAAUUCAUGUCUGAUCUGAGCCUAACUGAAUUUUUUAUUUAUUUAUUUGGUCUCGACCUGCAUUUUAUUUCCAGUUAUGAAUUAGGAACGUUAAUUUCUCUCACAGUAAGUGAUUUUUCUUUUAUUAUUUAUUCAUCUUUUUUAAGAGCAGCUUUGAAACAAACCUCUAUUUUAAAUAUGCACUGUCCUGUUUUUAGCUCCAUGCUGUCUGCGUGUUGUAUUUUAGCAUUGCUCCACAUUAUUUGUAGCAAUUUAGAUUUCAACUUUUAACCUUUGUUCAGUUUUAUGCUCUUCAUAUUUGUUUUUCAUAGUUGUGUCUCAAGCAAAUGUUUUACUUGUGUUUGUAAAUAUGUUAAUAAAAAUGUACAGUAUGUUUGUAAAGGUUGAAUUUUACAUUUGUUUCCAUCUGUCUGAUUAUAUGAGAAAUAAUUUAUAUUUAUAAAUGACAAAUUUGAUGAUUUAGAUUCAACGUUUUUAAUAAUAGUCACUUAUUUUUUUAGCUACCUUGUAUGCAUGCAUGAAUGAAUAACGUACUUUAAUUGAACAGAAAUGUUACAUAGAUUAGCAAUUAAAGGGAUAGUUCAACCAAAAUGAAAAUUCUGUCAUUUAUUACUCACCCUCUUGUUUACAAGCAGAGGAAUGCACACUGAUGGACUAUUUACACACAUUAUUUUAACUGUCUUUUAUCUUUUUGGGCAUUGGACAUGGUAGUUGUGUUUCUGUCUAUGCCGGGUCAGAAAGCUCUCCGAUUUCACCAAAAAUACAUUAAUUUGUGUAAAAGAUUUUGGAAAAAAAUCCAAGUCCAGGCACUCAAUAGGAUGCAAAAGUAAAAAAGCCUUUAAUGGUUGGGCUAAAGCAUUAAAACACCAACGCGUAUCGGCCCAUUGGCCUUCAUCAGGGUGUUGGUAACAAACAGACAGAAUCACGCAGUACUUAUAGUUGCAUUGGUUUCAGGUGUGCCACUCUGGCACUUGUAACACAAUUUUUUGGCCACUAGAGGCAAUAGUUCAGAUAAUGGCUAAUACCAAAGAUCAAACCAUACAAAUACAAGAUAAGGGAUCUCCAAGUGGAAGAAAAAAAAAAAAAAAAAACAGGAGAGAGUAACACCAAUACAAACAUCUUGUGUACUCCACACAAUUAUAUCCAUAAAGUCAAAUAAAUGUGUAGAGGCUAGUUACCCAUCUUACUUCUGGAUUCAUUGUCAAGAUAGUUCCAAAGCAACAGGAGAAAAAUAUGUUUAUGGGCAUUACAGUACAUUAAAAGAACAGUCAACAUUCACGGACAACAAUACACUG
ensembl:lncRNA